GCCUGAAGUAGAUCUGCCCUGACAGAAGUCACCCAGGUGGCCACUUGGCCAUGGAAUGUGCCCAGCUUGAUAAGAAGGCAAAUGCCUGGCGUCUUGCAGGGCCAGGGUGCAUAUCAGGUUUCAUUUCUGGGCUGUGGCAAGACAGAAGCCGUAUGUGGUCUUUGCCUGCCAGGACUGGCUGGCCCUGAUGCCCACGGCCUGCCAGGCAUGACAAGCCCAGCAGUCUUCCCUAACGGGGCCUUCUCUUGCCCCAAGCAACAGUCCUAAUGUCUUCCAAGUUGGGCACAGUUCCACAGCCCCAUAAAGCUGCAAGCCAAGGAAUGCAGCUCCCUUUUACUUCUGCCUUUCUGAACUCUACCCUUCUUUCAAGGUCAGCUCAAGCCUGCCCCCCACAUUACAGGUUAGGUUCAAAUGCCAAUUCUAGCUGUAUGGCCUUGGAUGACUCAUUUAACAUCUCUUAGCGCCCUUUUGUGAAUAAAAUGGGCGUAAAAAUGUCCACUCCCCAGGGCUAUGGUAAGGAUUGAGAGGCCCAGUGAAACUUCGCACAUAGUAUAUGCACAGUAAAUGGUAGGCAGCCCCCACUUCUCAUAGUGACCUCUCUUCCCUGCAUUUCAGUUUCUCUUAU
rnacentral:lncRNA from 10 species